CCAUUGCGUACCAGAAUGACAGAGGAUAUACGUUUUUCAUCAAAGAAAGCAUUUCGUGGACGUCCCUCGGUGUGUUCAUAAGGUUUCUCAAGCUCUCUACAACGCCGGCCUCAGCCAACCGUCUCUGGCAUUUCAUGGACAUCCCUCAGUGUGUUCAAUAAGGUUUCUCAAGCUCUUUACAAUGCUGGCCUCAGCCAACCGUCUUUGGUUCAAGUGCCAAGCUGCUAGCAUACUGUCUAUACUUUCAAGGAAGGAUUGUUGUAGCUGAAACUGAAUCACCAUGUCCAGGAUGGAUGUUGUUUUGAUUAAGGAUUCCCCUCAUUGAGUUUUCAUUGCAGUCCGAUUUCACAGUAAAUGUAAUUCCAUAUCCUAAAGCUCAAAGAGAAGGUCAGCAAAGGUACGAUUACAGCUAUGUAUGUCGUGUUCCUUUCGAGUAUAUGAUUAGGCUUUUGUCUUUCUUCCAUUUGAGUCAUCUGUUUUCCUUUCAAUUUUCAUGGAAAAGAAAAUUUAGAUGUUGAAUUUUUCAGUGCACAGGUAUAUGUAAUCCUUCCUAUCUGUAAUGGAAGUUUGUAGGGUUUAUCCUUUGGUUUAUGGUGAUGAAAAUAAAGUUGUUGCGAUGAAGACCUCCUUCACUCUCUGAAGCCCAGAAUGAAGUGAAACGGUAUUGGAUUGAUUUUAGCGAGUGGGCUUUUUUGUUAAUGUUGAUCAGAUUUGGACCUUUGUGUCAAUCGAAGUCAUUGCUGGUGGGUUAGCUAAGGACCUUGAGGGAUGGUGAUCCAAUUUUCAGAGAAGAACUAAAUUUCUCUCAAAGAAGACAAAUUUUGCAGCUUUCUAAUUUGAAAGAUGAUUCCAGCCCCAUUGGAAUCCAAAAAGCUUUCAACUGGAGUUCAACAUAUCAAGUAUGGAGAGAAAUGACAGGAGCAAUAUAGCACAGAUUGUCAUCUUCUUAAAUAAAUUGUUCUCAAUGUUAGGAUGUCUUUUUACUCCGUUUGGGGUUUUGUCCUACUUGGUACGAACAAUGUUUCAAUUCUAUCAAAUAUUCUCCCUCAACUUCUGUAAACUUUGAAUUAAUACAUGAUGAUCACCUUUCUUUUACGUU